CCUACGGGAGGCAGCAGUGAGGAAUCUUGGUCAAUGGACGCAAGUCUGAACCAGCCAUGCCGCGUGCAGGAAGACGGCUCUAUGAGUUGUAAACUGCUUUUGUACGAGGGUAAAUCCCGAUACGUGUAUCGGUCUGAAAGUAUCGUACGAAUAAGGAUCGGCUAACUCCGUGCCAGCAGCCGCGGUAAUACGGAGGAUUCAAGCGUUAGCCGGAUUUAUUUGGUGUAAAGGGUGCGUAGGCUGUUCGAUAAGUUCGUGGUGAAAUCCCCGGGCUCAACACCUGCACGGCCUGUGAUACUGUCGGUCUAGAGUGUAGUUGCGGUAGGCGGAAUGUAUGGUGUAGCGGUGAAAUGCAUAGAGAUC
rnacentral:rRNA from 1 species